rnacentral:tRNA from 1 species
GCCUGGUAGCCUAGUGGGUAAAGCGCUUGCAGCUAUUUACCGAAUAUCGAUGGUUCGAAUCCAUCCCGGAGCA